GCCACUGGCUGAGAUGAACCACGAGGUGAUACUGGAAAAAGACAAGGGGAAUCCUGGCAGCUGUGAUGAAUGCAUUCCUAUUGGAGAUUUUUCCUUUGAUCCACAUAAACUAAUCUGCUGUUCACUGGAAAGCGGGAACAUUCUUUUCCCACGGCACAGGAGGAAAAGGAUAUUGCUUGGCAACCACUGCCAUCACAUCUGGUUGGUUUCAUAUGGAAGUUCUACAUUGUGAAAGAGAACAAAGGCAAUGAGGGGACAUGUAUCGGCGUGUCCCGCUGGCCAGUCCGAGAUUAUAACCACCACACCACCACUGAUAUGUGGCUGUAUCGUGCUUACAGUGGCAACUUGUACCAUGGAGGAGAAUUGGUCCGGACUCUUCCCUCCUUCACUCAGGGUGAUACUAUCACCUGCAUCCUGGACAUGGAAGCUCACACCGUGUUAUUUGCUAA